AGAAAACCCCUUUCCUUCAGAAGGGAAAGCAAAUGUUGAUCCAUGUCAUUGUUAGAAAAGCAACAACUUGAUUGAGUAAUCAAGUUACUGGUUGAAUUAUACAAUAAUUGCCCACUGUCACCAAGAACCAAAGAUUUACUUGCACACGCCACCGGAGAAGGAUCUUCAAUUGGGCCAGAGGAAUUUAUUAAUUUCAAAAGGUUCUUGAGGAGAUUUUUAGCACUGGUAAGUAUAUCCACCAAUGUGGCACUGGUAGCCUGACCAGAGCCAGAAAGACCUCCCAGGACAGACAAUAUGGAACACUCGUAUCUGGAGGAAACUUCAUAAAAGCGCAAACGAUGAAGUAUAUAAGUGGCA
rnacentral:misc_RNA from 1 species